GAUGAACGCUGGCGGCGUGCCUAAUACAUGCAAGUCGAGCGAACAGACGAGGAGCUUGCUCCUCUGACGUUAGCGGCGGACGGGUGAGUAACACGUGGAUAACCUACCUAUAAGACUGGGAUAACUUCGGGAAACCGGAGCUAAUACCGGAUAAUAUAUUGAACCGCAUGGUUCAAUAGUGAAAGACGGUUUUGCUGUCACUUAUAGAUGUAUCCGCGCCGCAUUAGCUAGUUGGUAAGGUAACGGCUUACCAAGGCAACGAGGCGUAGCCGACCUGAGAGGGGGAGCGGCCACACUGGAACUGAGAGACGGUCCAGACUCCUACGGGAGGCAGCAGUAGGGAAUCUUCCGCAAUGGGCGAAAGCCUGACGGAGCAACGCCGCGUGAGGGAUGAAGGUCUUCGGAUCGUAAAACUCUGUUAUUAGGGAAGAACAAAUGUGUAAGUAACUAUGCACGUCUUGACGGUACCUAAUCAGAAAGCCACGGCUAACUACGUG
rnacentral:rRNA from 1 species